AUUGAACGCUGGCGGCAGGCCUAACACAUGCGAGUCGAGCGGAUGAAGGGAGCUUGCUCCUGGAUUCAGCGGCGGACGGGUGAGUAAUGCCUAGGAAUCUGCCUGGUAGUGGGGGAUAACGCCCGGAAACGGGCGCUAAUACCGCAUACGUCCUGAGGGAGAAAGUGGGGGAUCUUCGGACCUCACGCUAUCAGAUGAGCCUAGGUCGGAUUAGCUAGUUGGUGGGGUAAAGGCCUACCAAGGCGACGAUCCGUAACUGGUCUGAGAGGAUGAUCAGUCACACUGGAACUGAGACACGGUCCAGACUCCUACGGGAGGCAGCAGUGGGGAAUAUUGGACAAUGGGCGAAAGCCUGAUCCAGCCAUGCCGCGUGUGUGAAGAAGGUCUUCGGAUUGUAAAGCACUUUAAGUUGGGAGGAAGGGCAGUAAGUUAAUACCUUGCUGUUUUGACUUUACCAACAGAAUAAGCACCGGCUAACUUCGUG
rnacentral:rRNA from 1 species